rnacentral:rRNA from 1 species
GGGAAUCUACCUUUUGCUACGGAAUAACUCAGGGAAACUUGUGCUAAUACCGUAUGUGCCCUUCGGGGGAAAGAUUUAUCGGCAAAGGAUGAGCCCGCGUUGGAUUAGCUAGUUGGUGGGGUAAAGGCCCACCAAGGCGACGAUCCAUAGCUGGUCUGAGAGGAUGAUCAGCCACACUGGGACUGAGACACGGCCCAGACUCCUACGGGAGGCAGCAGUGGGGAAUACUGGACAAUGGGCGCAAGCCUGAUCCAGCCAUGCCGCGUGAGUGAUGAAGGCCCUAGGGUUGUAAAGCUCUUUCACCGGUGAAGAUAAUGACGGUAACCGGAGAAGAAGCCCCGGCUAACUUCGUGCCAGCAGCCGCGGUAAUACGAAGGGGGCUAGCGUUGUUCGGAUUUACUGGGCGUAAAGCGCACGUAGGCGGACUUUUAAGUCAGGGGUGAAAUCCCAGAGCUCAACUCUGGAACUGCCUUUGAUACUGGAAGUCUUGAGUAUGGUAGAGGUGAGUGGAAUUCCGAGU